AUUCGCUGACGAGUGGCGGACGGGUGAGUAAUGUCUGGGAAACUGCCUGAUGGAGGGGGAUAACUACUGGAAACGGUAGCUAAUACCGCAUAAUGUCGCAAGACCAAAGAGGGGGACCUUCGGGCCUCUUGCCAUCGGAUGUGCCCAGAUGGGAUUAGCUUGUUGGUGGGGUAACGGCUCACCAAGGCGACGAUCCCUAGCUGGUCUGAGAGGAUGACCAGCCACACUGGAACUGAGACACGGUCCAGACUCCUACGGGAGGCAGCAGUGGGGAAUAUUGCACAAUGGGCGCAAGCCUGAUGCAGCCAUGCCGCGUGUAUGAAGAAGGCCUUCGGGUUGUAAAGUACUUUCAGCGGGGAGGAAGGGAGUAAAGUUAAUACCUUUGCUCAUUGACGUUACCCGCAGAAGAAGCACCGGCUAACUCCGUGCCAGCAGCCGCGGUAAUACGGAGGGUGCAAGCGUUAAUCGGAAUUACUGGGCGUAAAGCGCACGCAGGCGGUUUGUUAAGUCAGAUGUGAAAUCCCCGGGCUCAACCUGGGAACUGCAUCUGAUACUGGCAAGCUUGAGUCUCGUAGAGGGGGGUAGAAUUCCAGGUGUAGCGGUGAAAUGCGUAGAGAUCUGGAGGAAUACCGGUGGCGAAGGCGGCCCCCUGGACGAAGACUGACGCUCAGGUGCGAAAGCGUGGGGAGCAAACAGGAUUAGAUACCCUGGUAGUCCACGCCGUAAACGAUGUCGACUUGGAGGUUGUGCCCUUGAGGCGUGGCUUCCGGAGCUAACGCGUUAAGUCGACCGCCUGGGGAGUACGGCCGCAAGGUUAAAACUCAAAUGAAUUGACGGGGGCCCGCACAAGCGGUGGAGCAUGUGGUUUAAUUCGAUGCAACGCGAAGAACCUUACCUGGUCUUGACAUCCACGGAAGUUUUCAGAGAUGAGAAUGUGCCUUCGGGAACCGUGAGACAGGUGCUGCAUGGCUGUCGUCAGCUCGUGUUGUGAAAUGUUGGGUUAAGUCCCGCAACGAGCGCAACCCUUAUCCUUUGUUGCCAGCGGUCCGGCCGGGAACUCAAAGGAGACUGCCAGUGAUAAACUGGAGGAAGGUGGGGACGACGUCAAGUCAUCAUGGCCCUUACGACCAGGGCUACACACGUGCUACAAUGGCGCAUACAAAGAGAAGCGACCUCGCGAGAGCAAGCGGACCUCAUAAAGUGCGUCGUAGUCCGGAUUGGAGUCUGCAACUCGACUCCAUGAAGUCGGAAUCGCUAGUAAUCGUGGAUCAGAAUGCCACGGUGAAUACGUUCCCGGGCCUUGUACACACCGCCCGUCACACCAUGGGAGUGGGUUGCAAAAGAAGUAGGUAGCUUAACCUUCGGGAGGGCGCUUACCACUUUGUGAUUCAUGACUGGGGUGAAGUCGUAACAAGGUAACCGUAGGGGAACCUGCGGUUGGAUCACCUCCUU
rnacentral:rRNA from 1 species